UACGGGGGGGGCAAGCGUUGUUCGGAAUUACUGGGCGUAAAGGGCUUGUAGGUGGCCAACUAAGUCAGACGUGAAAUCCCUCGGCUUAACCGGGGAACUGCGUCUGAUACUGGAUGGCUGGAGUGUGGGAGAGGGAUGCGGAAUUCCAGGUGUAGCGGUGAAAUGCGUAGAUAUCUGGGGGAACACCGGUGGCGAAGGCGGCAUCCUGGACCAUUACUGACACUGAAAAGCGAAAGCCAGGGGAGCAAACGGG
rnacentral:rRNA from 1 species